ACAAGACAGAGGACAGUCAUAUCUCCAUGGCUACCCUAAGUGGCUCUCUAGUGUUUCGAAUAUAGUUGAUAACUGAGGAAUCGGCUGAAAGUACCCUGGAAAUAGGGAAAUCUCUUAUGUUUGUAUUGCGUUCCCCUUUUCCAACUUUCCUUCUCCAGACUUAGAAAGGAAGGGUGUGAAAGGAUCAACAAGAGCUGUAAGCUGAACUUCAGUUGGUUCCUCAAAGUUUUGCUCUUGUUGCCCAGGCUGGAGCCAGGCCACAUGAUGUUUUAAGAAACAUGAAGCCGGCCGGGCGCGGUGGCUCAAGCCUGUAAUCCCAGCACUUUGGGAGGCCGAGACGGGCGGAUCACGAGGUCAGGAGAUUGAGACCAUCCUGGCUAACACGGUGAAACCCCGUCUCUACUAAAAAUAUGAAAUUAGCCGGGCGUGAUGGCGUGUCCUGUAAUCCCAGCUACCUGGGAGGCUGAAGUAGGAGGAUCGCUUGAACCUGGAGCUCAGUACAGAUCUUGGACCUAUUUAGAAGCAACCAGAAUAAAGAAUAUGCAUCCUACCUGAAAUAAGAAGCAGGAACUUCCUGCUGUUUCAUAUUACAGAUAGGAGAUUCACCCACCCCAGGAAUGAAACAGACAUUGGAAUUUCCUCUGUAAGUCUUAGGGAUGCUGUGAGAGAAAUGAUCACAAGGUUAGUAAUUUGGGUUUGCUUACUCCUUUAAAACAUUGCCAGUUUGGGCCAGGCAUGGUGGCUCACGCCUGUAAUCCCAGCACUUUGGGAGGCCGAGGCGGGCAGAUCACCUGAGGUCAGGUGUUCAAGACCAGCCUGGCCAACAUGGAGAAACCCUGUCUCUACUAACAAUGCAAAAAAUUAGUCAGGCGUGGUGGCAGAUGCCUGUAAUCCCAGCUACUCGGGAGGCUGAGGCAGGAGAAUCGCUUGAACCCGGGAGGCAGAGGUUGCAGUGAGCCAAGAUCAUGCCACUGCUCUCCAGCCUGGGCAACAGAGUGAGACUCCAUCUCAAAAAAAAAAAAAAAAAAAAAAAAAAAAAAAACCUUGCCAGUUUGGUAUCAGAGAUUCUGUGUUUUGAAUGAAAUAAUGUAUACAAUUUCUGCAUAAAUAUAGUAAUGGCAGCUUUAUUUCUAAAGGCAAAAAAUUAUGUCAAAGAAUAA
rnacentral:lncRNA from 1 species